rnacentral:misc_RNA from 1 species
CUAGUGCAGCCAUGUCUUCUCCUGGUGCAAACCCUCACCAUAGUCCUCCUAGAUUCACUAGGGCUAGUGCAGCCAUGUCUUCUCCUGGUGCAAACCCUCACCAUAGUCCUCCUAGAUUCACUAGGGCUAGUGCAGCCAUGUCUUCUCCUAGUGCAAAACCUCACCAUAGUACUCCUGCAGCCACUGCUAUCGUAUCUCAUCAACCUAGUCCCACAACUAGUGUUAACAAAAUAGUUCCUACGGACAACUCACCAGGUGGGCACAGCUCUAGGCAAAGCAAUGCCAUCAUUGAGUCAGCUAAGCAAUUUGAUGUUGCUACUUCAGAGGGUAAUCCGAAUGAAGGAGAACCAGUUGGUGACUUAGUUCCAGCCCUUUUAGCGCCCAAAAAGAAUGUCCGCAAGAAAACCAUGGGUCAUGGCUUAGAGAAGAUGCUUAAUAGGGGAAACCGGUUGGCUAUCCACGAGGCUGAAGGGAAGAAAAGACCGGAGGUCCCACUUCAAGCUACCUAUCUACAAAUCUUGGAAG